UACGGGGGGGGCAAGCGUUGUUCGGAAUUACUGGGCGUAAAGGGCUCGUAGGCGGCCAACUAAGUCGGAUGUGAAAUCCCCAAGCUUAACUUGGGAACUGCAUCCGAUACUGGAUGGCUUGAAUCCGGGAGAGGGAUGCAGAAUUCCGGGUGUAGUGGUGAAAUGCGUAGAGAUCCGGAGGAACCCCAGAGGCGAAGGCGGCAGCCUGGUUGGCUCCUGACGCUCGGACACGACAGCAUGGGGAGCGAACGGG
rnacentral:rRNA from 1 species